rnacentral:rRNA from 1 species
AGAGUUUGAUCAUGGCUCAGGAUGAACGCUAGCUACAGGCUUAACACAUGCGAAGUCGAGGGGAAACGAUAUUGGAAGCUUGCUUCCGAUAGGCGUCGACCGGCGUACGGGUGAGUAACGCGUAUCCAACCUGCCCACCACUUGGGGAUAACCUUGCGAAAGUAAGACUAAUACCCAAUGACGUCUCUAGAAGACAUCUGAAAGAGUAUUAAAGAUUUAUCGGUAGUAUGGAUGGGGAGUGCGUCUGAUUAGCUUGUUGGCGGGGUAACGGCCCACCAAGGCGACGAUCAGUAGGGGUUCUGAGAGGAAGGCCCCCCACAUUGGAACUGAGACACGGUCCAAACUCCUACGGGAGGCAGCA